rnacentral:rRNA from 1 species
AUUGAACGCUGGCGGCAGGCCUAACACAUGCAAGUCGAACGAGUGGCGGACGGGUGAGUAAUGUCUGGGAAACUGCGUGGUGGAUGGGGAUAACUACUGGAAACGGUAGCUAAUACCGCAUACCAUCGGAUGUGCCCGGUUGGGAUUAGCUAGUAGGUGGGGUAACGGUGCACCUGGGCGACGAUCCCUAGCUGGUCUGAGAGGAUGACCAGCCACACUGGAACUGAGACACGGUCCAGACUCCUACGGGAGGCAGCAGUGGGGAAUAUUGCACAAUGGGCGCAAGACUGAUGUAGCCAUGCCGCGUGUAUGAAGAAGGCCUUCGGGUUGUAAAGUACUUUCAGCGGGGAGGCGUUACCAGCAGAAGAAGCACCGGCUAACUCCGUGCCAGCAGCCGCGGUAAUUC